GAUGAACGCUAGCGACAGGCUUAACACAUGCAAGUCGAGGGGCAGCAUAGAAGUAGCAAUACUUUGGUGGCGACCGGCGCACGGGUGAGUAACGCGUAUGCAACCUACCUAUCAGAGGGGGAUAACCCGGCGAAAGUCGGACUAAUACCGCAUAAAACAGGGGCACCGCAUGGUGGUAUUUGUUAAAGAUUAAUUGCUGAUAGAUGGGCAUGCGUUCCAUUAGGUAGUUGGUGAGGUAAUGGCUCACCAAGCCGACGAUGGAUAGGGGAACUGAGAGGUUGGUCCCCCACACUGGUACUGAGACACGGACCAGACUCCUACGGGAGGCAGCAGUGAGGAAUAUUGGUCGAUGGGCGAGAGCCUGAACCAGCCAAGUCGCGUGAAGGAAGAAGGAUCUAUGGUUCGUAAACUUCUUUUGCAGGGGAAUAAAGUGGAGGACGUGUCCUCUUUUGUAUGUACCCUGAGAAUAAGGAUCGGCUAACUCCGUGCCAGCAGCCGCGGUAA
rnacentral:rRNA from 1 species